GGGCACGGGGGGACUCCUACGGGAGGCAGCAGUGAGGGAUCUUCCGCAAUGGGCGCAAGCCUGACGGAGCAACGCCGCGUGGAGGACGACGGCCUUCGGGUUGUAAACUCCUAUUCUGUGCGACGAGCGAGAUAGGGACGGUAGCACAGGAAGAAGUCUCGGCUAAUUACGUGCCAGCAGCCGCGGUAAUANUAGGAGACGAGCGUUGUCCGGAGUUACUGGGCGUAAAGGGUGCGCAGGCGGCCGCGCGCGUGGCUAGUGAAAUCUCNUGGCUCAACUGGGAGGGUGGUAGCCAGACGGCGUGGCUUGAGGCUCGUAGAGGGGCGUGGAACUCCGGGUGGAGCGGUGAAAUGCGUAGAGAUCCGGAAGAACAACGACGGCGCAGGCAGCGCCCUGGGCGAGACCUGACGCUGAGGCACGAAAGCUGGGGGAGCAAACAGGAUUAGAUACCCUGGUAGUCCCAG
rnacentral:rRNA from 1 species